UACGGAGGGUGCGAGCGUUGUCCGGAAUCACUGGGCGUAAAGGGCGCGUAGGUGGCGCGGGCAGUCAACGGUGAAAGUUCGGGGCUCAACCCUGAAUCGGCCGUCGAUACUCCUGGGCUCGAGCACUGUAGAGGCAAGCGGAAUUCCGGGUGUAGCGGUGGAAUGCGUAGAGAUCCGGAAGAACACCGGAGGCGAAGGCGGCUUGCUGGGCUUGGUCUGACGCUGAGGCGCGAAGCGUGGGGAGCGAA
rnacentral:rRNA from 1 species